rnacentral:snRNA from 1 species
GUGCUCGCUUCAGCAGCACAUAUACUAAAAUCAGAACGAUACAGAGAAGAUUAGCAUGGCACCUGUGCAAGGAUGAUUUACAAAUUCAUGAAGCGUUCCAUUUUUUG